rnacentral:rRNA from 1 species
AUUGAACGCUGGCGGCAGGCCUAACACAUGCAAGUCGAGCGAGCGGCGGACGGGUGAGUAAUGUCUGGGAAACUGCCUGAUGGAGGGGGAUAACUACUGGAAACGGUAGCUAAUACCCCAUACCAUCAUAUGUGCCCAGAUGGGAUUAGCUAGUAGGUGGGGUAACGGCAAACCUAGGCGAGGAUCCCUAGCUGGUCUGAGAGGAUGACCAACCACAAGGGAACCGCGAGACGGACCAGACUCCAAGGGGAGUCAGAAGGGGGGAAUAGUCCACAAUGGGCGGAAGCGUAAUGCAGCCAUGCCGAGGGUAUGAAGAAGGCCAUCGGGUUGUAACGUACUUUAAGCGGGGAGGCGUUACCCGGAGAAGAAGCACCGGCUAACACCGUGCCAGCAGCCGCGGUAAUAG